rnacentral:lncRNA from 1 species
UCUUCCUUAAUGUUGGAAACUUCACUCCAGUAUCAUUCCACCAAUUCAAAAUAUCAAAUAGAAAUGGAUCAUCUUUUCUCUCUGGAUGAAGUGCUUCAUUCAAAUAAGUAUCUAACUCUGAAAUUCGAGUUGGUUCCAUUUGUUGAUUCUUGUCAAAUAAGUAUCUAACUAUUCAAAUAAGUAUCUAACUAAUGGUACAUUGAUGUGUUCUUCUGAUUAUUAAAUCAGAUGAACUUUCUAUCCUAACAGUCUGCAAAACUAGAUGACACCUUGUAUGUAAGACAUAUCUGGAACCCAUGGAUUCCAAAAGAUGAACAUCGGGGAGGCUACACACAUGAAAUGUGUCCUCGGAUUAAUCUAUCUCACUCAUGUGAGAGGUCAUCUACACACAAUGGGGAGAACAGUGAAGGACAUGUGUUCAUUUAGAUAACAUGUGUUCACAUUCGUGUAAGGGAUCAUUUGCAUAACAUGUGUUCUAAGCAAACACGUCUUGGGAUAUUGCCUGUGAAGCACAUUCUAGAGAGGGGAAAAGAAUAUACAUGUUGAGUAGCAAAAAUUGAAGCACGAUUUUGGUCAUCCAAGAUUAUAAAAAACUAAAGUUACAUCUACAGAAUUAAACAAACGGCAUAAAAUCGUUUAAUGAAAAUUGGGUCUUUAGACUCUCAAUGAUUACAGAUUUCGACGCAACCAGGGAGUAGAGUAAUUUAAGUCACAAAAGAGCGAUUAAUUCUGAGCUAAGACAGAAAAGGAUAGAUGAUACCAAAGAUUUACCUAACCGAAGUCCGGAUGCAGUUACUGUCGGAAACGAACAGAGGAGAUCGAGAUUAAGAUUGCAAUCGACACUAUGUCGUAUAAUGCAGGGAGGGGCGAUAUCCAAAUGUAGACGAUUGAAGAAAUGGAAAUGGAGGAAGAACAAGUUAGGAAUAUUUGGAGAGUCCGGCGGCGGCGGGGUUCCAAAUAGAAUAGAAGAAAAGAGUGGAAUCACAAACCCUAGCUAAUUCUUAAGAAAGGGGGAAUAAGAAAUAAGAAUGAUUUUUUUAGGGAUUUAGGGAUUAGGUUUAGGGAUUUGAUAUUUAUAUUAUUUGAUAAAAAAUGAGAUGGGUUUAUUGCUAAUAUGGUGUAAGAU